rnacentral:rRNA from 1 species
UGCCAGCCGCCGCGGUAACACGGAGGGUGCAAGCGUUAAUCGGAAUUACUGGGCGUAAAGCGCUCGUAGGCGGUUGAUUAAGUCGGAUGUGAAAGCCCAGGGCUUAACCUUGGAACUGCAUUCGAUACUGGUCAGCUAGAGUGUGGUAGAGGGAAGUGGAAUUUCCGGUGUAGCGGUGAAAUGCGUAGAUAUCGGAAGGAACAUCAGUGGCGAAGGCGGCUUCCUGGACCAACACUGACGCUGAGGUGCGAAAGCGUGGGUAGCAAACAGGAUUAGAUA